AAGUAAAAAUGACUCGAUAUGCUUUGUGACCGAAGAAAAAGAAAAGAAAGAAAAUAACUAGAUAGAUUGAUUCUGCUGUUCUUGUUUGAGCGCAGCGAGCACGCAAGCAAUCAAAAACCCUAACCCUACGGUAUUGCAAUUAGAUUUUUUCGAUUCGAUUCGAUUCGAUUGGGGAAUUAAAGGAUGGGGGCGAGUCGGAAACUUCAGGGCGAGAUCGACCGCGUUCUCAAGAAGGUCCAAGAAGGCGUGGAUGUCUUCGAUAGCAUAUGGAACAAGGUUUAUGAUACGGACAAUGCGAACCAGAAGGAAAAGUUUGAGGCGGACCUAAAGAAGGAGAUUAAGAAGCUCCAGAGGUACAGGGACCAAAUCAAGACUUGGAUUCAAUCCAGCGAAAUCAAGGAUAAGAAGGUCAGUGCCUCUUAUGAGCAAGCUCUGGUGGAUGCUCGCAAGCUUAUCGAGCGUGAAAUGGAAAGGUUUAAGAUUUGUGAAAAGGAGACCAAAACAAAAGCAUUUUCUAAAGAAGGCUUGGGCCAACAACCUAAAACCGAUCCGAGGGAGAAGGCCAAGUCUGAGACAAGGGAUUGGAUAAACAAUGUGGUUGGAGAGUUGGAAUCUCAGAUUGACAGCUUUGAAGCUGAGAUUGAAGGCCUAUCUUUCAGGAAAGGGAAGGGCAGACCACCCAGACUGACCCAUCUAGAGACAUCUAUUACUCGGCAUAAGGCUCACAUAAUGAAGUUAGAACUGAUCCUGAGGCUAUUGGAUAAUGAUGAACUGAGUCCUGAGCAGGUCAAUGAUGUCAAAGACUUCUUGGAAGACUAUGUUGAACGCAAUCAGGAGGAUUUUGAUGAAUUUAGUGAAGUUGAUGAGCUUUACAACACCUUACCAUUGGACAAAGUGGAGUCCCUUGAAGAUCUGGUUACUAUCGUCCCUCCUGGUCUUGUCAAGGGUGCACCUGUGCUUGGCUUGAAGACUUCUUUGGCAGUAUCCGCAUCUCCAAUGCCUGCCGCAGCUACUUCCACUACUCAGCAGAGUACUUCUGUACAAGAGCCAGUUGAAGAUACAGUUUCCCAGGACAGUAAUGUUGAUAAUAUUCCUAGGACUCCACCUCCUAAAAGUAGUGCACUUGCUUCUUCUCCUGCAUCAACACCAGUUGGGGGUCAUGCAAGUCCUCUCUCUGUGAGUGUUUCAUCUCACAAUUUGCCUGGUGCACCAAGUGUUUCAGCCGUUCCAGGUCCAAUUGCUGUUCGUGGUGUCACAGAGAAUGCAGGAGCUUCUAAUUCUUCAUCUCCUGUAAGUCUGUCCGCUUCUGUGAAGGAAGAAGAAUUAGCAAGCUUCCCGGGCCGUAGACCAUCGCCAUCUCUUUCUGAUGCUGGGCUUGUGAGGGGCGUUGGUAGAGGUGGCCUCUCUGCACAGAUUCCAUCUAGUAUCCCUCUUAGUUCUAGUAAUGUAGCGCCUAGUAAUAGUACUCUUAGUGCAGCUCCUUCGGUUUCUGAUGUGACAAAGAGAAAUAUAAUGGGAGCUGAUGAGAGAAUUGGGAGUAGUAGCGUAGUGCAGCCUCUUGUUUCCCCUCUAAGUAACAGAUUGAUCUUGCCUCAAGCUGCCAAGGCUAGUGAUGGAAGUAUUCCAGUUGAUUCUGGUAAUGCUGGUGAGGCUGCUGCUAUUCCUGGCAGAGCAUUUUCUCCUUCUAUGGUCUCUAGCAUGCAAUGGAGGCCUGGAAGUUCCUUCCAAAACCAGAACGAAGCGGGGUUGUUUCGUGGAAGAACUGAAAUAGCACCUGAUCAGAGGGAGAAAUUUUUGCAGCGGCUCCAACAAGUGCAGCAAGGUCACAGUACCAUUCUCGGCAUGCCUCCUCUUGCUGGUGGAAAUCAUAAGCAAUUUUCUGGACAGCAGCAAAAUCCACUCUUACAACAGUUUAAUUCUCAGAACUCAUCUGUAUCUUCUCAAGCUGGCCUCGGACUAGGAGUACAGGCCCCAGGUCUUGGUACUGUUGCACCUACCACCUUACAGCAGCAGCUAAAUUCUAUCCAUCAACAGUCUAACCAACAGGCAUUGAUGUCGAGUGGACCAAAAGAAGCUGAUGUUGGUCAUCCAAAAGUUGAGGACCAGCAGCAACAACAAAAUAUACCUGAUGAUUCAACUGCGGACUCUACUCCGGUUUCUGGGCUCGUAAAGAAUCUAAUUAAUGAGGAUGAUUUGAAAGCCUCAUAUGCAAUUGAUUCUCUGGCUGGAGUUUCUGGCUCUUCUACAGAGCCUGCUCAAGUACCACGAGAUAUCGAUCUCUCUCCCGGGCAACCUUUACAGCCCAAUCAACCUUCCGGUAGUCUUGGUGUUAUUGGCCGAAGAAGUGUUUCUGACCUUGGUGCAAUUGGUGAUAACCUUUCUGGAUCAACUCCUAAUUCUGGGGGAACGCACGAUCAGUUGUAUAAUUUGCAGAUGCUUGAGGCUGCUUAUUACAAACUUCCACAACCCAAAGACUCGGAACGUGCAAGGAGCUACACUCCAAGGCACCCUGCAAUAACUUCUCCUAGCUACCCCCAAGCACAAGCACCUAUUGUUAACAAUCCUGCCUACUGGGAACGUUUGGGUCUUGAACCAUACGGCACUGAUACCCUGUUCUUUGCAUUUUACUAUCAGCAGAACACUUAUCAGCAAUAUUUGGCGGCCAAAGAGUUGAAGAAGCAAUCUUGGAGAUACCACAGGAAAUAUAACACUUGGUUUCAACGACACGAGGAGCCAAAAGUUGCCACUGAUGAAUAUGAACAGGGGACAUAUGUGUACUUUGACUUCCAUAUUGCAAAUGAUGAUCUACAACAUGGAUGGUGUCAAAGGAUCAAAACCGAGUUUACUUUUGAAUAUAACUAUCUUGAAGAUGAACUUAUCGUUUAGGAGAUGUUCAGAGGAUGCUAUGCUACCACAUUGAGCAUGUCAUGGUCAACUUCCUGGUAAUAAUACAGUCAGAAUAUUGGUGGUGGGAGCUUGUUGAUGGUUACAGGUUUACUAGGCUUAAUGUUGUUGAUGGUAUCUACUGUCUAGUGUUUGAUCUUUUUCCUCUUUUUUUUUUUUUUAUAACUGUAAAAGGGAGACUAUUUUUGUCUUUUCCGUCUAUAAUGAAAUACAAAUGCAUAUUGUUUUAUUUAGCUCAUUAUGUAUAUUGACGAAAGCAGAAGGCAAAGUUGAAAGCUCAAAAGCUCAAUUGCUUGCUAGUACUAGUAGGUCUAGUAGGGUGCUAUGCUAUGGGCUAUGGGCUAUGGGGUAUGGGCCCCACUAAUUUCUUCUAGGUUAUUAAGCUUUGGUCGUAGCUCUUUUCAGUUUAACGUGCUGAGUGAGUUCUACUUGGACUUGUUUUCCUGAGCCUAUCUUUUACUUUGAUUUUCCA